GGCCCAUAUAUCACUGUCAUAGACUGCCCUAACCUACAAAUGCAGGAACAAGCAGUUCUGUUUUCGCCAUGCCCAUAUUUCUUUGACAAACAUGUACCCCUUAUUGUCGUCAUAUGCUCACAUAUGCAUGGGGAUGGUAUGAGCAUGCGCGCAAAAGGAUAUACAGUCAAUUUUUUUACCCAUGCCUUUAGUUUUUUUUUUCAUUUUUUUGACUUUAUGUAUAAAACAAAUAAUAAAUAUACUUAUCUUUCAGUAAUAAACAAAUAUUCAUACCGCUAAGUUAUUGAUAUAGUUUUGAUUAUGAACAAAGCUUAUUUUUGUUAUAAGCUAGAUCAACCAUUUAUCUAUUUAAUUAAAUAAUAAGCAAAUUUUCAACAAGUUGUAUGUAAGUACCAAUGCAAUUCUCGACAAAGACUGUAACCCAAUUUAAACUAUAGAUAUUAUCAAUCAAAUCUAAAAUUAUGGUGUGCCUUACAAUAUAUGGAUGAAAUUUUUCUAUCAAAGUACUAUUUUUGGAUAUGGAUUUAAUAGGAUACUAUCAUAUUAUCGCCAAUUAAUACUAAUUGAUAUUAUAUAUUUCGUGUUCAUCAAAAUAAAUUAUAAAAAUUAAAUUUUAUAAAAAUAAUAAAACAUAAAUAGAUAUGUAAUAUUUCUAUAAUACUUGUUUUUUCUUGCGUUGUAACGUACUGAUAUUUUUACUAAAAAAUUAUUAAUGAUUGAUCAUGGGCGAGGACACACAACAGCAAUAUCAACCAAUUAAUCGACCGAUCGAUGGAGACGAAAUUUGCAUGAUUGAUUGGUCGCUUUCUUGGAUUUAGCCAUCAUGUGAGUAUGCCGGCCCAUACAAUGCCUGCCCCUGUCUCUCCCAGCUAAAUUUUGUCCAUCAUCAUGCAUAUCCAUCCAUCCAUCGAGUGCGUCUACUAUAUACAUGAUGAUGAAUAUGUGGUGCACCUCUCCACCUCCUAAUAACGAGGAUUGCAUUUAUUUACUCUAUCUGAUUAUGAUUUUUCUAAGUCAUCGAUGUCACAGCGAUCUUCGUGAAUUCUGCAAUUAUAGAUAGAUCAGAAACUCUCUUUUUUUUAAUAAUAAACCUUGUUGAAGCUAUGUUUUUUUGGACAAUGCUACGGUACACCCAUUACUUACUAAAAGGUAAUAUCUUAAAUAAAUCUAAACCAUUGAUUUUUUAGAUUUUUAAAUGAAUUAAUAAAUCUAGAAAAUUAAAAAUAUUCUCAAAUCCCUCUAAUCACGGGAGAGGCCGGUGGGCAUGCAAACCCUUUCCUUGUUCAUCUGCAUGUGCAUGGCCUUAUUCUUCCUUUCACUCUCGCUAUAUUCUUUUCCUUUCACUCUUGCUCUAUGCAUAAUAUUUUUUUUCUUAGAUGUGAUCAACUUUUUUGUAAUAUUAAGUUAUGUUAAAAAGGUACACUGGUCAUGUUUCAUACUUGACUAAAAAACAUAUGUAACAUACAUGAAAAAUAUCAACAUCUAGCACCUUAAUUGAGUUGUGAACUUUAGCAAUUUAAUACAUGUUACACACCAACACGAUACAUAAUCGAACGUGCGCAUACACACACAUUUAAAUCUGGUUACGUGUCUGAGUUACAAAUGCAUCA
rnacentral:lncRNA from 1 species